ACCAGACUCCUACGGGAGGCAGCAGUGGGGAAUAUUGCACAAUGGGGGAAACCCUGAUGCAGCGACGCCGCGUGAGCGAUGAAGUAUUUCGGUAUGUAAAGCUCUAUCAGCAGGGAAGAAAAUGACGGUACCUGACUAAGAAGCCCCGGCUAACUACGUGCCAGCAGCCGCGGUAAUACGUAGGGGGCAAGCGUUAUCCGGAUUUACUGGGUGUAAAGGGAGCGUAGACGGCGGUGCAAGCCAGAUGUGAAAGCCCGGGGCUCAACCCCGGGACUGCAUUUGGAACUGUGCUGCUAGAGUGCCGGAGAGGCAGGCGGAAUUCCUAGUGUAGCGGUGAAAUGCGUAGAUAUUAGGAGGAACACCAGUGGCGAAGGCGGCCUGCUGGACGAUGACUGACGUUGAGGCUCGAAAGCGUGGGGAGCGAACAGGAUUAGAUACCCUGGUAA
rnacentral:rRNA from 1 species